rnacentral:rRNA from 1 species
CACGUAGGGAGCAAGCGUUGUCCGGAUUUAUUGGGCGGAAAGAGCUCGUAGGUGGUUCGAUAAGUCGGGUGUGAAAACUCUGGGCUCAACUCAGAGACGCCACUCGAUACUGUCGUGACUGGAGUCUGGUAGGGGAGUGUGGAAUUCCCAGUGUAGCGGUGAAAUGCGCAGAUAUUGGGAGGAACACCAGUGGCGAAGGCGGCACUCUGGGCCAGUACUGACACUGAGGAGCGAAAGCGUGGGGAGCGAACAGG